UACAGAGGUCUCAAGCGUUGUUCGGAAUCACUGGGCGUAAAGGGUGCGUAGGCCGCACGGUAAGUCAGAGGUGAAAUCCCGGAGCUCAACUUCGGAAUUGCCUCCGAUACUGCCGUGCUUGAGGACUGGAGAGGAGAUUGGAAUUCACAGUGGAGCAGUGAAAUGCGUAGAUAUUGUGAGGAACACUAGUGGCGAAGGCGAAUCUCUGGACAGUUCCUGACGCUGAGGCACGAAGGCCAGGGGAGCAAACGGGG
rnacentral:rRNA from 1 species